AAACUCUGUUGAGAAACACCCUUUUUCUAGUGAAAUUAGUGAUUUAGAUUAUAUACAAUCAUCUAAAAAGGCGCACAAACAUGAGACAAGUUCCAGUCAAGUACAUUCUAUAGCCAAUAAUGAAUACAAAGUUAAUGACAGUUUUGAAAAUUCUGAGACAGAUUUUAGUAGUUUGAUAAUUAAUUCUAAUUCUACUCAAACAACUUCAUGCAACAGUGAUUAUGAUAUUGGCUUAUAUAUUAACAGAACAUCUAGUAAAACAUUCAGUGAUGAUAUUAAAGAAAAGCUUUUAAAAAAUACAUGGGUACCAGAUUCGUUCACCAAUUUGCAUGUACAAGUAUUAUCUAAUGUAAAUAGACACUUUUAAAAGUCCUGGUUGGAUGAAUUUAAAUGGUUAGCUUAUUCUAAAGUACAAAAUGGAGCAUUUUGUAAAAAUUAUGUAGUUUUUGGUCCUGGAAGUUUUUCCGGUAAAGGAUCACAUCAGAGUGUUGGACAGUUUGUGUCAAAACCAUUGCAGAAUUGGAAAUCAGCCAAAGAAAUUUUUUAUCACCAUUCUUGUCUUCUUCAAUAUCACCAACUAGCAGUUUUAAAAUCAGAUAAUUUUUAAAAAAUGGUUGAUGGAAAGAUAGAUAGUGUACAACUUCAAGUCGAUAAGCAAAUGAAGAAAGAAUUUAUUGAAAACACCAAAAAAAUUUCUGCAAUAAUUGAAACAAUAAUAUUUUGUGGGCGACAAGAAAUCCCAUUAAGAGGACAUAAAGAUUAUGGCCGCCUAAGUCUAAAUGAUCCAGAUAAUAAUGACGGGAACUUCAGAGCCUUGUUGCGCUAUAGAGCUAAAAAUGGGGACAAUACUCUUAAAUCUCAU